UUCGUAGGUGGCAAGCGUUGUCCGGAAUUACUGGGCGUAAAGGGCGCGUAGGCGGCCUGCUAAGUCGGAUGUGAAAUCCCUCGGCUCAACCGAGGAACUGCAUCCGAUACUGGCGGGCUUGAAUCCGGGAGAGGGACGUGGAAUUCCAGGUGUAGCGGUGAAAUGCGUAGAUAUCUGGAGGAACACCGGUGGCGAAGGCGGCAUCCUGGACCGGUAUUGACGCUGAGGCGCGAAAGCCAGGGGAGCAAACGGG
rnacentral:rRNA from 1 species